AGUGUGUUCCUGCAGAAUAACUUAGUUACCUUUUGAAUAUAAUUGUCACUUCUUAAUUACAUUUUAGCCGUUCAUUCAUUAGCCUUAGCUUAGUUGUUUGUUCUUAUAUUUUUUGUUGGCAAUACGUUCAAACCAUCUACUUUAAUCCUUUCAUUGUAUUAUUUUUAGCGUUCCCGUCCAAUUUCUGUGUUUGCUCGCUCACUCGAUUGCCGUGCGCUGACUCUGAGGCGUGUGUGCUGUGCAGCCAGUGAAGCUAAGCUAGGUGGCUCUCUGGCUGUUAUCACGUAUUCUCCUAAAGGUAGAUCUGCAAUGCUAUUUGCUUACUCCACAAUCGUAUGAUGUUCCCAUAGCAACUGCACAAGUACCCUCUGGGGAACAAGCUCUGCUGGUUGUGAAUUACUGACUUAAUGUUGAUUGAAAUGAGCACAGGUUUUUCACUGCCACAGAUAUCUGGUUGUGCAAGAGCGCCCUCAGUGACCUCGUCCGUCUGAAUGUUCAUCCACCCGUAGACGUGUUCAUUUGAAGUUCAAACUGCUAAUUGAAAUGACUGAAGAGUUUAUCUGAACAAGUCUCCCUCUCGUUUGCACACACUUUCUGGUUCCCUCGGCUGUUUCCGGACGUUACCCCAUCCAAGGCUUCUCUCCCACGAGGAAGAUUCGCAACUUCGAGGAGGCGCGCGGCCUGGACCGGAUUAACGAGCGGAUGCCGCCGCGCAAAGACGGCCAGCAGCCGGACGGCACCGCGAUCGCCCCCACCGCGCCCAACAAGAACGGCACCGAUGGAUAGGCGGCCCCCUCCCCCGCGUCUUUAAGCGACUCCACGUCCACCCUGCCCCCGCCCGCCCCCCCACCCAUUGCUCCCGCUCUUUCCUUGUCUCCGCCUCCCUCUGCGUCCUCCGCCGUCCGCCGCUAGAGAGGACGGAACGUCGUUCGAUCACAAAAGGGAAAGGAGGCGAUUGUGCUGGGAAACAACUUCCAGCUGCUGACAAAAAGAAAUAUAUAUAUUGUGUUUUAUCUGGUGAGGGGGGGGGUCUUAUUAAAUAUAUUAGAUAUGUUGUUUACUAGCAACAAAUCACUCACUGAAGACAUUUUGUCCUAACUUAUACAGUACGUGACCCCCCCUCUCCUCCGGCCCCCAAACAGAUCAUUUUAUGAACUUGAGUUGAUGCAGAUUGAUGCCGUUUUAGUCACUUAAAUUAUUAUUAUUAUUAUUCUGUGUGUUGAGUGAGGGAGAGAUUCCAAAUACUGUCGAUCCCCGUUUGGCUGUGGAGGCGUUUUCUGGCCGCACGACGUUCGCUUCCAAGCCCGUCACUCAAAAGAGAAAUGCCGCAUGUGUUGACAGGUGAAGAGGGGAAGAAAAUGAUAUCAGGACAAUUAUUACAAAUCCAGAUUUUAUACUUGAAAAAAGGAAUUUAAUUAAGACUUGUCCUAUUUAUACAUUUUCCACCAAACUUUGAUGAAUCCCCAAAGAUGCUGAAUGGACUUUUCUGGUUCAGUAUUUUGUCCGCUUCCAGAGUAUUUUCUUUCUCUACACUGACUUAUGAGUGACAGAGACGAGUGAGGGCUUACUGCUUUGCGUGUGAUGGUAGUUGCUGGUGGUUUGCGCGCUGGUUACGACUUCUAUUCACUUUGAUGCCAACUGUGAUGUUCUCGCUCCGCUAAACCAAAAAACAAAUAAAAAAAGGGGGACAUACAGUCCAGCAUCUCAUAUUCUAUCAAAAGCGACAGAGACCUGCCAAACCGCCGUGUCCUGGUCGGAGGCGCCCAAGUGCAGCCCGACUCUGCGGGGUCGAGCACGGCACCACAAACCGAAACCAAAACCGUCAAAGUGUUUUGUCUUCGGUCGUCCUUUUUGGACUUAGGAGGACAUGUUCUGUCCUCAGAGAGCAGAGGAGCCGCGCUGUCCUCAAAAAGACUUGAUGCUUAUUGUUGCUUAGCAGCCUCCAGUGUAUUUAACAGAAUUCUGUCGGUAUGGUUUGUGUUUUACUGUCGGGGAGAGUAGAAUGUGUUUUUUGGGGCUUUUUAUUUCAUUUGUUUCUAAGCUGUAUCAGUAUCUCCAUCUGCUGUGGAUUAUACAGAACGCACAUCGCAGAGGCAAAGGUUUGAUAUCCAGUGGAAUGGCGGCUCUUCACUGCGCGCGAAUAAAGCACCGAGUGUACCGCCUACAGAGUACUGUAAUCAUCUCCACCACGGCCGACUCGCGCGUGCACACACACAUCACACUUUAGGCGCCAUGUCGGGGGACCUGCUAACGCUGGUGUGCACAGGCUUUAGUGUUGGGCCUUCCACCUCCGCUCCCCUCCGGGGCCUUUAAGACACACGAGACCAACUCAACCGGUGCUUCGACACACCUGACUGUAAUUCUCUUCUUUCUGUCAGUCCCAAAAAAAAGAGGUGGGGAAAUAACCGUUUUCAUUCGCUUUCUCUUGUGAAUUGACCCUCUUUUCUUUCUUUUUUUUGGUGGUAUUUUUAAAUGAGGCUUCUGCGCUCGUGUGCCAUGCCACCUCGGCCACACAUGUCAAGAUCUGCGUGUGCGUGGAUGGCCAGACUUUCAGGCACACAUCAAUUUUUAAAGAUUCUAUGUCCGUAAUAUUAAUCUUGAUAUCCUAAAACUUUUGCAAAAUAUUGUUGUUUGCCGUUACGUUCAGUAGGCUUCUGGGAGAGCUCCCUAAAGAGGAAGUAUUUGGGUUUUGUUUUAAAGUUGAGGCUUUAUUGGGUGAGCCGUACAGUAUGCUGACCUCCUGUUAGGUCCUAAUACAUAUCUCGCAGAAUGUAAAAGUAAAUAUUGUUCAUUAAGAAUCUUAUAAUAGCUGUAAAAAGGGGUGAAAAAAAAACUGUACCGUUUUUGUCAUGCAAGGCCAUGAAAUCUUUUAUGUAGAUGUAUCACUUGAAAGAAAAGAAUAAAAUUCAAAUACUGUUUUA